AGGCUCUGGGAGCUGCAAGGAGAGAGCAAGGUCAGUUGGAUCCGUUGUCAGGAAAGAAUCUGUGUCAGGUAGAGGAGGUGCAGAUAGGGGAGAAAGGAUAAGGGUUUGAGAGGCAUCAACAGAUGCAUAAAAACAAAGAAAAAAUGGUGCAUAAAGUGGGAAUGUGUCAAAGUAUAAAGAAUGCCUGUACAUAGGGAACUUCGGACCAUUUUCUCAACCUCUGGCAGUAGCUGUCUAAGUCUCACAGGAUGCAGAAAUCAAAAGUGCCAUUCUCUGGCCACUGAGAGCCAUUUUCUGGUUUGUAUUAUGGCCAUGCAGUGUUACAGAAGAAAAUCAGAUGUUUAGGCUUCAGAUCAGGGUAUAGAUGGAGAGAUUUCAGAUUCUUUAAGAGUCAGGCUAGAGAAGAAGAAGGAGGAAUAGAAGAAUGAACAUUUCCUAUUGGAGCAGAGAGAGAGGAUUGUCAUGCCCUGUGUGACAAAGACCAGCAACAGGGUCAACAAUGGGAUAUCUCCAGCUGUGACCCAGGCUGUGACUGAACAUGGACCGAGCAGUUGAUAACCCUGUGGGUGCUCUUUGUUUUCACCACUGUUGGGAACUGCGUCGUGCUGUUCUCCAUGUGGAGGAGGAAGAGAAGGCCCAGGAUGACCUUCUUUGUGACUCAGCUGACCAUCACAGACUUUCACAGGUCUGGUCAGCAUCUUGACAGACAUUGUUUGGCGAUUCACGGAGACUUCCUGGCGCCGGACCUGAUCUGCCGAGUGCUUCGCUAUUUGCAGGCAUGUGGCACCGGCCAAGCCUGGCGAGACAGACUGACACCAGAGGAAAAUAUCGAACGUCCAGCUCUCCCAGGAGACGGAUUGCCACUUCCUCCUAUGUGAAAUGACAGGCACCUUUUGCAAGGUUUUUGAAAUGUGAUUUUGUAGUUUAGUAUCAGGCGAUUUUGCUAAAAAUACUCCAUGUACAUUAAAACUACAAAUAGGCAACCCUAAGAAUAUGAAGCACUCAUAUUUCAACCAUCCAGUAGAAUUUCUUGGUCGAUAUUAAGACUUUUGACAUAGUAUGGCUAAAUAAUCUCCAGAAAAACUGUCAGUUAUAUUUACCAUUUGCCUCUUAAACUAACCCAACAGUGUUCUUUAAACAACAAAAAAAUCUUUAACAAUUUCAUAAAAAAUAAGUAUUGAGUAAUUGCCACUUAAACUACACUUUUUAAAAUAUCUAUUGACAUUUGAAUGUCUUCUUCUCUAAACCUACUAUUAAAUCCUUUCAAUUAUCUUAGAACUGGGAUACUUAUUAUUGUCUGAGUUUUGCUAAUACCUUUUUUAGAUUAAAGAUAUCUUUACUUUGCCUAUCGAUAGGUUCCAGUGUAAGACAGUUACAUAGACACAAUAUGUAUAAUUGAUUUAAAAUAUCACAUAUACAUCAAUUAUUUGUAUUCUUAAAGCACUACACAUGUAUAUAAUACAAAUAGAGACAAUUCAACUACAG
rnacentral:lncRNA from 1 species